rnacentral:rRNA from 1 species
GACGAACGCUGGCGGUGUGCUUAACACAUGCAAGUCGAACGGUAAGGCCCUUUCGGGGGUACACGAGUGGCGAACGGGUGAGUAACACGUGAGUAACCUGCCCUCAUCUCUGGGAUAACAGUCGGAAACGGUUGCUAAUACUGGAUAUGAGCUUGCAAGGCAUCUUUUGGGUUGGAAAGAUUUUUUUUGGUUGGGGAUGGACUCGCGGCCUAUCAGCUUGUUGGUGAGGUAGUGGCUCACCAAGGCUUCGACGGGUAGCCGGCCUGAGAGGGCGACCGGCCACAUUGGGACUGAGAGACGGCCCAAACUCCUACGGGAGGCAGCAGGGGGGAAUAUUGCACAAUGGACGGAAGUCUGAUGCAGCAACGCCGCGUGCGGGAUGACGGCCUUCGGGUUGUAAACCGCUUUCAAUUGUGACGAAGCGUUUUUGUGACGGUAGCAGUAGAAGAAGCACCGGCUAACUACGUG